CAGGGACAGCUUUCCCCGCAACACCACUCCCUAUAUAAGGAGGAGCGGAAGCUAUGCCAGUCUUUUAGCUCCCAGGGUAGGGAGCAGCUGUGUUGAUCCCAGGGCAGGGAGCCUGCCUGGAUGGAGAGGAUCAGGGAUCCGGGACCAUCGCCAACUCCAGUGGGCUGUUUGUUCUGAUGUACCCUCAGACCUGAGAUCAAUGGAGCAUCUGUGAAGACCUCAGCCAAGCCAGUCACCAGGAUGUGGACACCUACCAGCUGAUGUCCCGAGGGAGCUGGAUUUCCCUGCGUCUGCUUAAGGGAGCUGAGCGAGGAUCCCCCGCUUGAGCGCAAAGGACGGAGGGGACGAGACCUGGCUGCUGGAAGGAGUUGGGGUCCCACCUGGGGUCUAGCCAGGCCGAGUCAGAGCCAGAACAUGGGUUCACGGCAGCUUAGUCGGGCUCUGGGCUGAACAGGAGGGCCUGGGCUUUCACUGUUCUCUGCCACCCUAGGGGUUUCCUGGGCGGUGCUGGGUGACUAAUAAACUGCCAACACCGUGUGUCGGGAGGGGCGUUAAUCCUGCAGAGGGGCCAGGUCUCACCCGGGGCCUGCACUCGCUGCAGGGAGCGCACGGGGGACAGCAGGCCCCGAGGUGCAGUCUGAGUGAGACCCAGAGGGGCUCUGGCCCACGAAAAGGCUCCUCCUAGAGACUGUUCCGAAGCUGGGUCCAUCGCCCCGCACCGGGCCCUAAACAGCCCCGUCCUGCCGGGCCCUGGUGUCCGUGCUCACGUCAAUGGGGAGUGAUAGCGCAGGCCGGGGCGAUGCCCCUCAAUCCUGACCCGCAGCCCCCUGCUAGCCGAGCCCUUUGAGAGGUGGCUUGGCUAGGCCCGGUUGAGCUGCUGCUCCUUGGCGGCCCCAGUGUGGGAGGAGCAGCCCCUCAAACUGCUCGCUGGGUCUUUCCUGUAGAGUCGCUCUGCGGCCGCUGCCUCCAGCCCACCCACCGGGGCUGUGCCCGGGAGGUGCCUGCAGGGACUGUCCAGCCAGUCAGCCUUUGCCCUGGCCACGGCCGGCAGCCCUUCACCUUCGGCUCCUGCCCUGGUGCGGCCCUUCAGGGCCCUCUGCUUGUUGGCCUGGCUCGGGGGGCCUCUGGCAGGGUCUCCUGGGCAACUGGCUCGGGUUUGGUGCCAGGGCGUGGUCACAGGGAGCUGCUACCCCAGCUGCUUGGGAUCACAGCCCAGUGCUGCCCCUGCCUCAGGACCCUGCUCCCAGGAGUGUCCCUUACCCUGAGCUGGCUGCAUGGGGCCUGCUCCCAGGUGAAUGGGAAGUCUGGCCUGGUCUCCAGCCAGAAGUGCCAGUGGGGCUCCCCUCUGAGCUGGCAGCAGGGGUGGGAGCCUGGGGCGAUCCGUGGGUCUGAGUGGAUGGUGCCCCCUUCCUGGGAGCUUCCCCAGCCUGGCCUAGAGAAAGGGGUGGGGAAUAUGGCGGCAGUCCCCAGGCCAGGAGUGGCCGCAUGGGCAUGCUGGGCUCUGCAGGGCAUUGCUCACCUUGGUUCCAGAUGGGGCAUUACCUCUUGUGGGGCACCCUGUGUGCUGGGGCCAGCUGAGGGUGGACGCCAGGAAUCCCGGCUUCCUGCCCCAAGCCCUGUGGCUGCAGCAGGGCCUUUCCUGGAGUGACAGGGCUGCCCCCAACCUGGCCUCAGAGCUCCUUGGGGCAGGGACUCUCCCCUCUGCCUGGCAGCACCCUGCACUGGCUCACUGCACGGGUGGAACAAGAUGCCCUCUGGGGGCCAGGCUGCCCAAGGGAGUUAGGGGCCUAAAGGCACAGACAGGCAGCAAGGGUGAUUUUUCCGAAUGUGCCUGGCAUUCUCUGUAUCGUGAGAUUCCCUUGGACAAUCCAGCUGGGACUUUCAGACUCUUUCUGUCUCCAGAAUAACACAGCACUCUGCUCUCUCCAUCCCACCCUCUGUGUGCCCCACCCCCCUGCUAGGCUUCGCAUCUCCCCACAAUCCCCACCUGACCAGGAGGAAGGGUGGAAGCUGCAGGGAGCUAGUCCGGGCAGGGCCAGCCUGGGGCGGGGCAGGGGGUUGGGCCCAUUGCCUUUGCCCCUGUGGGCUCGGCCCGGGAAGGGGCCUCUUGCCCUGGGGUUGUAGGACCUGUGAUGGAGGUUGUGGGGAGCUG